rnacentral:rRNA from 1 species
CAAGGCUUGACAUGUGCCGGUCGGCUCCGGAGACGGGGUUUCCUCCUUGUGGGGCCGGUUCACAGGUGGUGCAUGGUUGUCGUCAGCUCGUGUCGUGAGAUGUUGGGUUAAGUCCCGCAACGAGCGCAACCCUUGUCCCGUGUUGCCAGCACGUUGUGGUGGGGACUCGCGGGAGACUGCCGGGGUCAACUCGGAGGAAGGUGGGGAUGACGUCAAAUCAUCAUGCCCCUUAUGUCUUGGGCUUCACGCAUGCUACAAUGGCCGGUACAGAGGGCUGCGAUACCGUGAGGUGGAGCGAAUCCCUUAAAGCCGGUCUCAGUUCGGAUCGGUGUCUGCAACUCGACACCGUGAAGUUGGAGUCGCUAGUAAUCGCAGAUCAGCAACGCUGCGGUGAAUA